CUACGGGGGGCUGCAGUGAGGAAUAUUGCACAAUGGGGGGAACCCUGAUGCAGCAACGCCGCGUGGAGGAUGACGCAUUUCGGUGUGUAAACUCCUUUUAUAUGUCAAGAAAAUGACGGUAGCAUAUGAAUAAGCACCGGCUAACUCCGUGCCAGCAGCCGCGGUAAUACGGAGGGUGCAGGCGUUACUCGGAAUCACUGGGCGCAAAGGACGCGUAGGCGGGUUGGAAAGUCAGGUGUGAAAUCCUACAGCUUAACUGUAGAACUGCACUUGAAACUUCUAAUCUAGAGUAUGGGAGGGGGAGAUGGAAUUAGUGGUGUAGGGGUAAAAUCCGUAGAUAUCACUAGGAAUACCUAAAGCGAAGGCGAUCUCCUGGAACAUUACUGACGCUAAGGCGUGAAAGCGUGGGGAGCAAACAGGAUUAGAUACCCGAGUAGUC
rnacentral:rRNA from 1 species